AUGACUAAGGAUAAUCUGCUUAAAAGACAUAUAGAUAGAGGUAAAGAAUGUCUUUUCUGCUCCUGUGAUGAAAGCAUCACUCAUAUUUUCUUUGAUUGUGUGGUGCCCACUGCUAUCUGGAACAUCAUGCACAGUUUCUUUAAGAAACCAGACACCCUCUCUUAUGAAUCAGUAGCGAAACUAUGGGUUUCUAACAAGAAACAUCUAGUUUUGAACAUGGUUAAUGCUGCGGUUCUCUGAUGCAUCUGGAAAUUUAGAAACAACAUGAUUUUUGACUAUCUUCCUUGGAUUGAUUUCAAACAGAUAGGGUGGAGCAUCCUGCAGGCGCUAAGAUCAUGGAUGAUACUUCUGCCCAGCAACAAAGAGAGCUGGGAGCCUUUUUGA
rnacentral:rRNA from 1 species